GACGAACCGUACGAACGUUAUUCGGAAUCACUGGGCUUAAAGGGUGCGUAGGCGGCGCAGUAAGUUGGGUGUGAAAUCCCUCGGCUUAACCGAGGAAUUGCGCCCAAAACUACUGUGCUCGAGGGAGGUAGAGGUGAGCGGAACUUAGGGUGGAGCGGUGAAAUGCGUUGAUAUCCUAAGGAACACCGGUGGCGAAGGCGGGUCUCUGGGCCGAUACUGACGCUGAGGAGCGAAAGCGUGGGGAGCGAACAGG
rnacentral:rRNA from 1 species